AUUGAACGCUGGCGGCAGGCCUAACACAUGCAAGUCGAGCGAGCGACGGACGGGGGCGUAAUGUCGGGGAAACUGCCUGUUACCGAGGGAUAACUACGGGAAACGGUAGCUAAUACCGCAUUACAUCCGAUUUGCCCAGAUUGGAUUAGCUAGUAGGUGGGGUAACGGCGCACCUAGGCGACGAUACCUAGCUGGACUGAGAGGAUGACCAGCCACACUGGGACUGAGACACGGUCCAGACUCCUACGGGAGGCAGCAGUGGGGAAUAUUGGACAAUGGGCGCAAGCCUGAUGCAGCCAUGCCGCGUGUGUGAAGAAGGCCUUCGGGUUGUAAAGCACUUUCGGCGGGAAGGCGUUACCCGCAGAAGAAGCACCGGCUAACUACGUGCCAGCAGCCGCGGUAAUAC
rnacentral:rRNA from 1 species